CCGGCAGCGCACCGCCGCUGCAGCUCCGGCCUGCGCUAGGUUUCGCUGGCGAGGCCGAGCGCGCAAGGCGGCCGGCAGGCAGGUGGUGCAUCUUCCAGAGGCCGCGGGGCCCUCGGAAAAGCAGCGGGAGAGCUGCGCCCCUUCGAGGGGGUGGUUGCGCUGCGGUCCUGCGGGAGGGGGCGGUGCUUCGGCUGGCGGCGCUCCAGCAGAAAAUGGCGACCGUGAGGCUGGGCGCGUCAGUGCGGGGGUUGGAGCUGGUGAGGUGGCAGUAGCUGUCGUCAGCCUUCUCCUGGGGAUGCUACAUGGGACACACUUGACACUUGCAGCACUGUACAUUGAAACCAAUGUCUUCAAAGACAGGAGUGAACCUUUGUCACAACAGUUUCUUAAUGUUUGUUUUGUUCCAAUUGGCUGUAACGUGAAACAAGAAAUCCAGAACAAAGCAGGUAAGAACUAUUACAAGCCCCAAGCCUUCCAGCAAGAAAAUAACUAGGUUAAUGAACUACAUGUUGCCUUUCGAAGAACUUAAAACUAGAUGAGACAAUAUUAAUAGAAAUACAGAUUGGUUUUUUUUUUUUCAAUCUGUUCAUAUCUGCUGAGCAGGCCCUAGACUUGAAAAUGGAGCUAGAAAAAGUGUGGAAAGUUGCGUAAGAAUACAGGGGUGUUACGCUAAUGCCAAAUGGCAUUUUUGUCAAUACAGUUUUCUUCUUUAAUCCAGUUUUCCAUCAAAGCGAAAUGUAGAAGAGAGUCUGCAACAAUUAAAUACAAUUCAUAUGACCUCUUACACAAUAGGAGAUGCAGAUACAUGAAGGCGCAAUGGUUAAUUUCAUCUGAAAUGCAUUUAUUUGUGUUUAAUUUAUGGAAAGCUGUAUUAUCCAGGUGUUCAUAAUUUGGUUUAUACUUCACCUUAACAGUAUAUACAUUGUCCUACUUUUUGAAUUCUCCUUUUUCAUUCAUGUUUGGACUGAUGCCUAUAUGUCCUCUCAUUUGUGGACAAGCAAUACUAUUAAGAGUUGUGUUAGUACCUAUUAUUCGAAAAGGAAAUUUGCUCCAUCUAUUAUAUUGUAACACAACCCAGUGUAGGUGCUUAUUAAUGUGUUUAUUCCAGUAGCACUAAAAAUACCGACUGACACAGUUCUCAUUGUGUUAGGUGCUGUGCAAGCAGAGUAAAAGACUAUUUUAGUAAAACGUGUUCUUCCCAAUAGUAUCAGAGUACUAGUACUAACAAUAACUAGUAUAAUAACUAGUGCUUGUUAGUACUAACUAUUUGCUGUUUUUAUUUUCUCAUAUAAAAAUUUUAAAUAUGGCUGAUAAUACACAUGAUAAUUUUAAGGGAUAGAAGGAAGGCCAGAAUAUAAAGCUCUGCAAACUAUAUCCACUUCUCUCUUGGUGUUUCUGUCUCUCUGCCRUUUGCUCAGCUAGUACAUUUCCCAUAAAUGUAAUCUACACUUGUAAAACUAAAUUUAAAAUAACUAAGUGCUGACAAGGGAAAAGAAGGCAGGAUUAUUUUCUACAUUCUCAUGACCUGGAAGAACAAUAGGUACCAAUGGAAGGUUUAAGGUCCUGUAUCUCUUCACCCAUCAGAGCUAGAAUUUUACAUGUACUAUUAAAGAUAGACUGAAGAGAGACCCGUUUUCCCAACAUAACAAAAAGUAGCUAAACUCUAGCCUUGGCAAAUUUUGGCAAAUUGUGUUUAAAUCAUGAUAUAUAGAAAAUAUUAGGUAAUUUAUAUAUGGAAUAUAAAUAGCCUUAAGUACAUCUCUGCAUCUCUUUUGUAGGUAAGAAAGUUUCCAUUUCUUGUCCUACUUGGCUUAUAUGUAUUUUUAGUAUUGUAAUGUUUACAUUUGUGCAUGAGCAAAUAAAAUCAAUUUGCUGCAUUAAUGUUCA
rnacentral:lncRNA from 1 species